rnacentral:lncRNA from 1 species
GAUCACUCGCCCGCUCUGUGCCCAGCCGGCUGCCGCCCCACCCUUCCCUUCCAGGCUCAGCUCGCUGAGACGCGCAUGCGCGCAGCCCGGGAACGCCUGGGGACUUUCCCCUGCAGGCCCGGCAGUGGUCUGCCUGGGGCGGAGACAGGGGGCGGGGGGUUCCCGCCAGGCGGGGGCGCCACCAGUCGCUGUAUAUAGCGCCGGCAGCCGCAUGGUGCGCGCGGCUUGGGUCAGCCGGUUUUGGCUGCCCAAAGGAAUUGAAUGUUUCAGAAUAUAGACACGUACAGUUUCUUCUUGUGAACAACAAAUUUCAAUAUGGAAGCGUAAGACCCUUCAAAGGGACUUCAGUCUGAAAUCUGGGAGGUAGUUUUGUGCACAAAUAAAAUUAAUAAAUAUAUUUCUAUAUUAAUCAAUAUGGGUUCUGUUUUCUUUAUGAAUAUGGCCUGUGGCGAUCUUUUAAUUAAGCCAUAUAAGAUACUAGAGUAUUCUAACACAAACCCAUAUGUUUAUAUUAAAUGCUAUAAGAGUAUAAUUUUACCCAAACAACCUGGCUAAACUUAUAAUGUACAGUGCUAUCUGUGUUGAGUGUGUCAUGGAAGAAAAUAUCCCCAGGGCUGUUCCAAGCCAGCUGGUAUUUGUGACAAGUUGGUCGUGUCACUAGUAGAGGCAAGAAUCACUCUUUCCAGAGCACUAGCUCUGUUCUGUGUAAGGCAGUUGAGUAUAACCUUCGAUUUUUGUUUAUAGUGUCUUGCAUAUUUGGGGGUUCAGGAUUGCUAAAACAAAGGGGUUUUUGUUUUGGUGGUCUUAUGAUGCACAGAUGCCCAUUUAGAAGCUUUGUCAUUGUUCUGUUUGUGUCUAUAUAAAUGUCCAAGGUUAGAAUUUCAACAUAUCUAGGAGACACUCUUAUCAAAACACAAUCUUUACAGAUGUAUAAAAUCUGCCUUCUUAUUGGUGAUCUAGUAUGAAAUAAUUAAAACACUUAAAUUGGAGAAUAUUAAAUUGCAGUUUCUUCAGUUUUUACCCACUUUAGUUUGUUUAUUGGGGUGGGUUUUGAUUACCCUUACAGAUUUUUCUGUACCUCUUCCAUCCAACUCUCAUCUGCACCAAACUGCCAUCAUCUGAUUGCUUGUGAGAUGAGAAGUACAGUAAACUAAGGAAAAUGUGAUAUACUGUAAAAGGAAAGUCCAGUUGACAUGCUUUCUGUGCCUGAGAGUGUUGAGAUUUUAGAACUUCUCCACUGAAAGCAAUUGUGCAGAUUAAAAUAAAGGCAGGACUUCCCAGGCAUAUCACAUCUGCUUAUGAAUCAUAACUAAUUCCUUUCACAAAUGUAUUCAGUUUUACAAACCAAAAUGUUUCACUUUCAGGUCCUUACUCUUUUAUAUGGCCUGGGAGUUAUUCAAAAUCAUCUCCAUGCACAAAACUACCUCCCAGAGAAAGACUUGUCCCA